AGUCUGAGCAGGGCCUCACAACAGUGGGGCACGAGGCAGGAGCUUCUGGGAGCAUAGCCUUAGCCAUGAUCUUAACCUGCCCACAUGUUUCUUUUUUUUUUUUUUUGUAUUUAUUAUUAUUAUUAUUAUUUACUUUUAUUUUUUUAUUUUAUUAUUAUUAUACUUUAAGUUUUAGGGUACAUGUGCACAAUGUGCAGGUGUUUAUUUGUUUGUUUGUUUUGAGAUGGAGUCUCUGUCACCCAGGCUGAAGUGCAGUGGCAUGAUCUCGGAUGACUGCAACCUCCAUCUCCCGAUUUCAUGCGAUUCUCCUGUCUCAGCUUCCUGAGUAGCUGGGAUUACAGAAAAAGUGAAGGGAGAAGGUUCUGAACAGACCCAUCCACUAAUCAGGCUCACAGUUUCUGGCUGAAACUGACUGUUACCGGCAAACGUUACGGCCUAAUAUCGAAGCACAAGUUCUACCUCGGGCGGGGUUCCUCAACAUUCAUCACUGAGAGAUUCAGGCAAGAGGGAGAUAAGUUCAAGAGGACAGCCAUUCUCCCGGGAGUUGCAUCUUCAUCUAGUAUUUGAAAUGAUAAUUUAUAGGGGAAAUCAUUCAAGAUAACAUGUUCCAGAAGGAAAAUACACCCUGCUGUUGUUCCGGCUCCUUAAAUCAUGUUUUACCUAGUCUAAUAAGAAGGCUAAUUUGCCUUGG
rnacentral:lncRNA from 1 species